AGAGUUUGAUCCUGGCUCAGGAUGAACGCUGGCGGCGUGCCUAAUGCAUGCAAGUCGCACGCUCUGCUUCGGGCGGGAGUGGCGAACGGCUGAGGAACACGUAUGGACCUGCUCCGGUGUGGGGGACAACACGGCGAAAGCCGUGCUAAUCCCGCAUACGCUACUCACGUGAGNNAAGCCGCAAGGCGCACCGGAAGGGACGUGCGGCCCAUCAGGUAGUUGGUGAGGUAACGGCCCACCAAGCCCGUGACGGGUAGCUGGUCUGAGAGGACGACCAGCCAGACUGGGACUGUGACACGGCCCAGACUCCUACGGGAGGCAGCAGCAAGGAAUUUUCGGCAAUGGGCGCAAGCCUGACCGAGCAACGCCGCGUGGAGGAUGACGGCCUUCGGGUUGUAAACUCCUUUUGGGUGGGACGACAUCGACGGUACCACCCGAAUAAGCCCCGGCUAACUCUGUGCCAGCAGCCGCGGUAAUACAGAGGGGGCAAGCGUUAUCCGGAUUUACUGGGCGUAAAGCGUAUGUAGGUGGUUGGCUAGGUGGGGUGUGACAUCUCCAGGCUUAACCUGGAGCCGCCGCUCCAAACCGUCCAACUCGAGCCGUGCAGAGGUCGGUGGAAUUGCCGGUGUAGUGGUGAAAUGCGUAGAGAUCGGCAGGAACACCAAGGGCGUAAGCAGCCGACUGGGCACGUGCUGACACUGAGGUACGACAGCGUGGGGAGCGAACAGGAUUAGAUACCCUAGUAGUCC
rnacentral:rRNA from 1 species